ensembl:lncRNA
AAGCAUGGAUUGCAAAAUCGUUUGCAUGCCCCGAGGUGACCAACUUAAAACAGGUGACUCGUUUUGGAAGCAAAACAAACACAAGAAGGGGAUUUGGGUUGCAGGCAGCUGUGGAUCCUGCACGCUCAGCUGGUGACGCACAAAGAAACAGGUGACGGCGUCGGGAUGUUUGCCCUGCAAGGGUGCCACCACGUGCUUCUUUCCCCUGGAACAAGCUCUCUCGGUAAAAUCUGCACCUGGCCUGGUGGUCUUGGCAACAUCGGACAACCUCUAGCAGAUGUUCGCCUCUCUUUUGUCGAUGACUUCGCGGUGGCUGGUCCGCGAGACAAAACUGCGGAUCAUCUCAUGGGUUCAUCGGCUGCAGAGAUCGUACGUGAUGAAGCUUUACUCAGUCACCAGAUCUGGGAUGAAAGUUACCCUUUGGCUGUGUGACAGACAGGAAGAAAGGGACGCUCACGCUAGUGUGAAGGCAUAUGAAAUGCUUUCGCAGCCAGCCAAACUUCCUGAAUCCUCUUCUAUGGAGAGAUGCCAAACCACAGAAGAGAGAAUAAGGGUAGCCAAGAAGAAGGGAAAGAAGGAGCUGAAAGAGAAAGAUAGAGACAGAAAGGGCAGGGAGGAGACAACUAGACCCCCUGUCUGAUGCUAGUUUGGGCCCUGAUCGGAUCCCAGCAGGGCUAAGUGUGAGGCGCUCAGCGGGACGUCCCCUCUUCAAACUCUCCACCUCUUCCCUUUCCUCUUUUUAGUCUCCAGACAUUGUAAAUGAGGUCAUCUCUCCUGGACUGGUCCAUCCAGGCUGAUGCCCAACGGUGCUCAAAGCCAACCUCUCACUACCUGGCCUUUCCUUUGCUUUGUUUUGUCUCUCUCAGAGGCUGUCCAUUAGUCACUUUAUUCUCUCUCUCUCUCUUCAUAAAUGAUUUCCUAUUUUAUCACAACUAGGUGUAGAAUCAAAUAUAGAAAACGAUCAGUAGAUUUUAACAGUCCACUUGCAUUUGAAUAACAAGAGACUGUAUUUAUAAAAAUUAGGCUUCUAUCAUAUAAAAUUACUAAAUGUAAUAAUAUUUAAAACGUUAAAUACAAAUCCAGUCUAAUCACAGAAAAUAACUGAACGCUGAAUGCACUUUUAAAAAUAAAGGUUCUUUACUGGCAAAGGUUCGAUGAGGAAACUUUAACAUCCAUGGAACCUUUCCAUUCCAAAAAAAAAAAAGUUCCUAACACUGUCAGAAAAAAAGGUACAAAAAGCUGUCACUCGGACACAAAGUACCCUUUCGAGGUAAAUAAGGCACAAAUGUGUACCUUAUGAAAAGAGACAUUUUUCUGAAAGUCUAUAGUAAAAGUUAUUUUUUUAUCUUCACUGAAAGGGAACCAAAAAUGGUUCUUCAGUGGCAUCACUGUAAAAACCCUGUUUGGGAAACUUUUAUUUUUAAGAGAGUACAGCCACAACUUAAACCACAUGAUACUCUAUCUCUGUACAGCUCAAGUUACAUGACAUCAAAAAGCAAACAGUCAUUCAUAAUUCAUAAGGUCGUGUGUAAAGGGUCACUUCUAAGCUCCACUUGCACCUGUUGCUUCUACACCUGUAUUCAAAAAGGAGAAACCAUUGAAGUAUGAAGAAAAAAGUUUGAGCGCAUAAUAAACUGGCUAACAGCUCCUAUAAACAAAAUCACAUAUACCUUGAAGACUGAAAUCUUAACAAACACAAAGACAUUUCCAGCACCUCUCUCACAAAAACAUCACCAUAGCAUAAACACUUCCUGUAUUUUGUAACAUUUGCAUAAAACCGAGUUUGACAGUCACUCUCCCUCUUCCUCUGUCAUGGCUGCCAUGCACUUUUCUCUUGCAAUUUCUCCUUCCUUCUGAGAAGCCGGUUCACAAUUAACCUAUCCCCAGAAGAGGUCUUCAGAUAAACCCCUUUUGUCCCCCCUACAACUGCCCCAGCAUCCCACGACCCACCUCGGGGGAAAAAAAUCCAUGCCCGUACCUGCUGCCCUUUUGAGGAGGGGGGCCGGAGGAAGGAGAGAGCUCCUUUGUCCUUCUCCCCAUCUCCACUGGAGACAGAGGGGUGGGUGGGGACCCUUCGCUCCCCCCCAUCCACUCCUCAUCCUCCGCUUCGUCUCAAACCGUUUCAGCCUGAAGAACCUCAAGCGAGGUGGACUAAAGCCCAGUGAGGUGCGCUCUCUCCCAGCGUGCACGCCUACCUCGCUCCCCUGCUCCGCACAAACUAGGCUGGUUCAGUCCGGGCCCCAGCCUCUUUAGGCAAUGGAGUGGUUUAUUUAAUUUGCCGCUAUAAUGGAGAACUCUGAAUGAGCGGCUGGGGAAAAACCGGCGAGAGAGAAGAGAGAAUGCGGGGCGGGCGCGAAGCAAAAGAAAAAAAGAAAGAAAGAGAGCUAGACGAGUGAAAGAAAAGAGAGAGAGAGAGCGAAAACAAAAGCUAAAAGCUACCACUAUUUUGAUUCACCCAUCCCUUUUUUUUAAAAUUACUUCCAAAGUGUGAUAUCUAUUGUACGGGGAAUAAUGCGGAACAAUGCAAGCGGGGGUCUUGGCAAUAUUCAAAGGGGCUUAUUCAGAGCAGGGCCGGUGGCUGGCUGUACAUUCAGGCCCAGAACACUCCCAUACAAGCUCGUUCGGCGGGCACUAUAGCGCUCAUUGUGAGGGCAGUGUAAACAAAAAGGCGCCCCAGAGCACGGUGGGAUGUGGGAAAAAGAGAGCAGCUUUAUUCCCCAGAGGUCCUGCAUUAUUAUGGGGUUAGAACGUGUUGGUUUUGUCUGGUGUAGGUCCGACCCCUUGCAGUCACAGCGGCAUCGGACUGCAAUAGUAUUUAAACAGAGUCACAGGAGGGAAAACUUUCAGAGGGUUUGUGGUUGGUUUGGGCUUCUAAACUCCACAUCUGUAUAUGGUGAAAUCUGAACAGAUAAAUGGGGUUUUUCAAAACUUUUAAAGGAAAACUGGAAAACAACCUGUAACAGGAUCCAUUUGUUAACAUAAACUAACAGUGAAAAAUAUUUAUUACUUAUUUAUUAAUCUUAGUUAAUGUUAAUUAUAACAAUUACUGAUAAAUUUUUUUGAAUCACAAGUGGUGUCUAUUAAUAAUAUUUAAUAGAGCUUAUUAACAAUGA